UUACGGCCACAUCACAUUAAAAUACCCGUUCCCGUACGAUCACCAAAGUUAAGCAACGUCGAGACUGACAAGUAUUGAGAUGGGUGACCGCUUUGGAAUACUAGGUGCAGUA